GGUCUGGUCGGUGGGUGCCGCGCCGCCCUACGGCGGCGUCGCGGUGGACGAGGCCGACGCGGUGUUCGAGCUGCUCCAGGCCU
rnacentral:tRNA from 1 species